UUGUGUAGUUGCAAACAAAUAAAUAUUUGUUUGGUUUCACUUUUAAAUCUUUCUCUAAAUUCUCUCUUUGAAUAUUCGAAAUGACAUUCCAAACCUCAAACCUUAUUUCACUUUGAUUUUCCUUCAUUUGCAUCCCAUGAUAGCAAAGUUGUCAAUACUAAACAACUUUAUAUAGAAACUUCUUAGUUAUAAAAAUUAUAUUUCCCACAAUUUUAAUUUUGUGUCAGUAGAGGAGUAAACUGUAAAAGAGAAACACAAUGACAUCUCAUCAUAUUCGCCUAAGUCUCUUCAGUGUCCACAUGUUCAAAUUACCUAGAUGUUUAUAUUUUAUUUUAAUCAUUUUUCUAUAGUGGUUUCGAGGUGAUAUGCAAAACACCAAAACCAUCUCUGAAUUUCAAAACCUUUUCAUCUUCUUUUAGGCUAUUUGGUUUUAAGUCAUUCCCACCAUAACAGGUGAAAAGUCGAGAGGACAUGGAAGAUUUGAAGAUAUCUGAAGGACAUGGAAGAUUUGAAGAUAUCUGAACUUAGACUGUGGUGUGUGUGGCGUGGGUUGGGGCGGCGGUUUGGCCGUUUGGGUUCAACGCUGGCUGCUUCACCUCGGGUUGGCGUUGGGGCUGGCAUUGCCAUUUGGCGUGGAGAUUGAGCCUAGCGGGGCGGGGGGGGGGGUGUUGACAUGGCUGGCUUUGGUUGGCUGGUUCGAUCUAGCCGUUGGGGGUAACCGUUGCCAAACCAAAAAAAAUCCACAUGGCUGGCCACGUCAAUCUAAGCCACGCCACACCCCUAGUUUUUGAGUAUUACCUCUUGGAUCCCACCCUCGCCACGUGUCGAGCAAUGCCCCCAACCGGAGCCCCUCCACACCCCUUAGUCUUAAUACCAUGCUAAAGCCAUCUCUAAUUGUCUGGGGUCGGUUCGGGUUUAACCGGGGUCGGGUUAACUCAUUUGCUCAGCAUGGUCCUCACCGCAACUACAAAAGCCAUCAUCACCAAACACUUGCGGAUCAAUUCCCAAUCUGUUCUCUCUCUCUCUUUCUAUACUACUUUACCAACUUCAAAUCUCUUUCUAUACUACUUUACAAACUUCAAAACUAAACACGUAAGCUAAUAGAUAUAUAAACAUUUUCAAAAAAAAUCUUUAAAAGAUUAGGAUUAGAUCAGUAAAUGUAUCAUAACAAAGAGGAAUUAAACCGCCAUGGCUGCAUCCUUCUUGGCAGAAACCAAAAAAUCUGUUCAAUUUCCAACGGAAAAUGCCACGCCAAGAUGCGGCAAAUCUCAACUUUGAACGAUUUACUCAGACAACAAAAAAAAUAAUCAUCACCGCCUUCAUCUUGCCACGAAGAACAACCAACAGCAUCAAUAAAAAAUAGAAAUAACUAAACCAAUAGACUCAGAUCUAAUAGAUCGUCAUCGUCUUGACGAUCAUCUUCAGCGGUGAAACAACAACAAUACCAGUGGCGCUAACAACAAAACCACAGACUAACCCAACAUUAAACCACAUAAUGCAAAGAAAACUAAAAACCAAAACACCGACUUGAAGCCGGAACCUCCUGCAACGGUGGUGCAAUACCCAUUAACCCAUUUCUCUCUCUAACACCACACAUUCCCCUUUCUAUCAUUGAUAACAACAGAUCUGCGCCGUACGGAUCGGGCAGCGAUGUAUAGUUGCCAAGCAAUUUAGAGAG